rnacentral:rRNA from 1 species
GGACGAACGCUGGCGGCGUGCCUAAUACAUGCAAGUCGAGCGGACAGAUGGGAGCUUGCUCCCUGAUGUUAGCGGCGGACGGGUGAGUAACACGUGGGUAACCUGCCUGUAAGACUGGGAUAACUCCGGGAAACCGGGGCUAAUACCGGAUGGUUGUUUGAACCGCAUGGUUCAAACAUAAAAGGUGGCUUCGGCUACCACUUGCAGAUGGACCCGCGGCGCAUUAGCUAGUUGGUGAGGUAAUGGCUCACCAAGGCAACGAUGCGUAGCCGACCUGAGAGGGUGAUCGGCCACACUGGGACUGAGACACGGCCCAGACUCCUACGGGAGGCAGCAGCAGGGAAUCUUCCGCAAUGGACGAAAGUCUGACGGAGCAACGCCGCGUGAGUGAUGAAGGUUUUCGGAUCGUAAAGCUCUGUUGUUAGGGAAGAACAAGUGCCGUUCGAAUAGGGCGGUACCUUGACGGUACCUAACCAGAAAGCCACGGCUAACUACGUGCCAGCAGCCGCGGUAAUACGUAGGUGGCAAGCGUUGUCCGGAAUUAUUGGGCGUAAAGGGCUCGCAGGCGGUUUCUUAAGUCUGAUGUGAAAGCCCCCGGCUCAACCGGGGAGGGUCAUUGGAAACUGGGGAACUUGAGUGCAGAAGAGGAGAGUGGAAUUCCACGUGUAGCGGUGAAAUGCGUAGAGAUGUGGAGGAACACCAGUGGCGAAGGCGACUCUCUGGUCCGUAACUGACGCUGAGGAGCGAAAGCGUGGGGAGCGAACAGGAUUAGAUACCCUGGUAGUCCACGCCGUAAACGAUGAGUGCUAAGUGUUAGGGGGUUUCCGCCCCUUAGUGCUGCAGCUAACGCAUUAAGCACUCCGCCUGGGGAGUACGGUCGCAAGACUGAAACUCAAAGGAAUUGACGGGGGCCCGCACAAGCGGUGGAGCAUGUGGUUUAAUUCGAGGCAACGCGAAGAACCUUACCAGGUCUUGACAUCCUCUGACAAUCCUAGAGAUAGGACGUCCCCUUCGGGGGCAGAGUGACAGGUGGUGCAUGGUUGUCGUCAGCUCGUGUCGUGAGAUGUUGGGUUAAGUCCCGCAACGAGCGCAACCCUUGAUCUUAGUUGCCAGCAUUCAGUUGGGCACUCUAAGGUGACUGCCGGUGACAAACCGGAGGAAGGUGGGGAUGACGUCAAAUCAUCAUGCCCCUUAUGACCUGGGCUACACACGUGCUACAAUGGACAGAACAAAGGGCAGCGAAACCGCGAGGUUAAGCCAAUCCCACAAAUCUGCUCUCAGUUCGGAUCGCAGUCUGCAGCUCGACUGCGUGAAGCUGGAAUCGCUAGUAAUCGCGGAUCAGCAUGCCGCGGUGAAUACGUUCCCGGGCCUUGUACACACCGCCCGUCACACCACGAGAGUUUGUAACACCCGAAGUCGGUGAGGUAACCUUUUAGGAGCCAGCCGCCGAAGGUGGGACAGAUGA